GUCUAUGGUCGUACCAUCCUGAAUGUGCCUGAUCUCUUCUGCUCUUGGAAGCUAAGAAGGAAGGAUAAGAAGGAUGAGAAAGAAAUCUUUUAAGAUUUCAUUGAAA
rnacentral:rRNA from 1 species